UAGAGUUUGAUCCUGGCUCAGAUUGAACGCUGGCGGAAUGCUUUACACAUGCAAGUCGAACGGCAGCACGGGAGCUUGCUCCUGGUGGCGAGUGGCGAACGGGUGAGUAAUGCGUCGGAACGUACCGAGUAGUGGGGGAUAACGCAGCGAAAGCUGUGCUAAUACCGCAUACGCCCUGAGGGGGAAAGUGGGGGAUCGCAAGACCUCACGUUAUUCGAGCGGCCGACGUCUGAUUAGCUAGUUGGUGAGGUAAUGGCUCACCAAGGCGACGAUCAGUAGCGGGUCUGAGAGGAUGAUCCGCCACACUGGGACUGAGACACGGCCCACACUCCUACGGGAGGCAGCAGUGGGGAAUUUUGGACAAUGGGGGCAACCCUGAUCCAGCCAUUCCGCGUGAGUGAAGAAGGCCUUCGGGUUGUAAAGCUCUUUCAGCUGGAACGAAACGGUACGUCCUAAUACGGUGUGCUAAUGACGGUACCAGCAGAAGAAGCACCGGCUAACUACGUGCCAGCAGCCGCGGUAAUACGUAGGGUGCGAGCGUUAAUCGGAAUUACUGGGCGUAAAGCGUGCGCAGGCGGAUUGUUAAGCAAGAUGUGAAAUCCCCGGGCUUAACCUGGGAAUGGCAUUUUGAACUGGCAGUCUAGAGUGUGUCAGAGGGGGGUGGAAUUCCACGUGUAGCAGUGAAAUGCGUAGAGAUGUGGAGGAACCCCAAUGGCGAAGGCAGCCCCUUGGGAUAACACUGACGCUCAUGUACGAAAGCGUGGGUAGCAAACCGGAUUAGAUACCCUGGUAGUCCCCGCCCUAAACGAUGUCAACUGGUUGUUGGGGGAGUGAAAUCCCUUAGUAACGAAGCUAACGCGUGAAGUUGACCGCCUGGGGAGUACGGUCGCAAGAUUAAAACUUAAAGGAAUCGACGGA
rnacentral:rRNA from 1 species